GACAGAGGUGCCAAGCGUUAGGCGGAAUCACUGGGCUUAAAGCGUGUGUAGGCGGAAUGGUAAGUACCUUGUGAAAUCCCACGGCUCAACCGUGGAACUGCUUGGUAUACUGCUUUUCUUGAGCCACUUAGGGGCUGUCGGAACAAACGGUGGAGCGGUGAAAUGCGUAGAUAUCGGCAGGAACACCCAGGGGGAAACCAGCCGACUGGGCAUCGACUGACGCUGAGGUGCGAGAGCGUGGGGAGCGAACCGG
rnacentral:rRNA from 1 species